CAGCAGCCACGGGAAUACGAAGGGUGCGAGCGUUACUCGGAAUUACUGGGCGUAAAGCGUGCGUAGGUGGUGGUUUAAGUCCGUUGUGAAAGCCCUGGGCUCAACCUGGGAAUUGCAGUGGAUACUGGGUCACUAGAGUGUGGUAGAGGAUAGUGGAAUUUCCGGUGUAGCAGUGAAAUGCGUAGAGAUCAGGAGGAACAUCAGUGGCGAAGGCGGCCAUCUGGGACAACACUGACGCUGAGGCACGAAAGCGUGGGGAGCAAACAGGAUUAGAGACCCCGGUAGUCCCUGUCUCUUAUAC
rnacentral:rRNA from 1 species